ensembl:ncRNA Y38F2AL.8 ncRNA
GGGUCUCGUCCCGCUCGACGGAAAAAUUGGCAAGAGAGCGACGGCUGGCCGCAGAGACCGAAAAUCGAUCUUGUAUCUCUAUUUUAGUCAUUGAUUCUC